UACGUAGGGGCCUAGCGUUGUCCGGAAUCAUUGGGCGUAAAGAGCUCGUAGGCGGUUCGGCAAGUCACGUGUGAAAUCUCCACGCUUAACGUGGAGGCGCCACGUGAAACUGCCGUGACUCGAGUCCGGUAGGGGAGUGUGGAAUUCCCGGUGUAGCGGUGAAAUGCGCAGAUAUCAGGAGGAACAUCGGUGGCGAAGGCGGGAUCCUGGGCCAGUACUGACGCUGAGGAGCGAAAGCGUGGGGAGCAAACAGG
rnacentral:rRNA from 1 species